rnacentral:rRNA from 1 species
UAGUAUUCAAUUGUCAGAGGUGAAAUUCUUGGAUUUAUUGAAGACUAACUACUGCGAAAGCAUUUGCCAAGGAUGUUUUCAUUAAUCAAGAACGAAAGUUAGGGGAUCGAAGACGAUCAGAUACCGUCGUAGUCUUAUCCAUAAACUAUGCCGACUAGGGAUCGGAUGAUGUUAUUUUUAAUGACUCA